AUUGAACGCUGGCGGCAGGCCUAACACAUGCAAGUCGAGCGGAUGAAGGGAGCUUGCUCCUGGAUUCAGCGGCGGACGGGUGAGUAAUGCCUAGGAAUCUGCCUGGUAGUGGGGGAUAACGUCCGGAAACGGGCGCUAAUACCGCAUACGUCCUGAGGGAGAAAGUGGGGGAUCUUCGGACCUCACGCUAUCAGAUGAUCCUAGGUCGGAUUAGCUAGUUGGUGGGGUAAAGGCCUACCAAGGCGACGAUCCGUAACUGGUCUGAGAGGAUGAUCAGUCACACUGGAACUGAGACACGGUCCAGACUCCUACGGGAGGCAGCAGUGGGGAAUAUUGGACAAUGGGCGAAAGCCUGAUCCAGCCAUGCCGCGUGUGUGAAGAAGGGCUUCGGAUUGUAAAGCACUUUAAGUUGGGAGGAAGGGCAGUAAGUUAAUACCUUGCUGUUUUGACGGUACCAACAGAAUAAGCACCGGCUAACUUCGUG
rnacentral:rRNA from 1 species